AGUGAACGCUGGCGGUAGGCCUAACACAUGCAAGUCGAACGGCAGCACAGUAAGAGCUUGCUCUUACGGGUGGCGAGUGGCGGACGGGUGAGGAAUACAUCGGAAUCUACUUUUUCGUGGGGGAUAACGUAGGGAAACUUACGCUAAUACCGCAUACGACCUACGGGUGAAAGCAGGGGAUCUUCGGACCUUGCGCGAUUGAAUGAGCCGAUGUCGGAUUAGCUAGUUGGCGGGGUAAAGGCCCACCAAGGCGACGAUCCGUAGCUGGUCUGAGAGGAUGAUCAGCCACACUGGAACUGAGACACGGUCCAGACUCCUACGGGAGGCAGCAGUGGGGAAUAUUGGACAAUGGGCGCAAGCCUGAUCCAGCCAUAUCGCGUGGGUGAAGAAGGCCUUCGGGUUGUAAAGCCCUUUUGUUGGGAAAGAAAAGCAGCAGGUUAAUACCCCGCUGUUCUGACGGUACCCAAAGAAUAAGCACCGGCUAACUUCGU
rnacentral:rRNA from 1 species